UAAAGAGGUACUGGGAGCAGUGCCUUAAAGAAGUACUGGAAACGGGAAGUUUUCUGAAUCAGGGUAAUAUGGGGCAGAAUUUGUCUACUGAGAAAAAAACAUCAUGUGCCGUUGCUUAAAGUUUUGUUGAAACAAACUGGUGCUCAGGUUAGUUCUCAGACAUUAACUAAGCUGCUGCAGGACGUUAUUACACAUAACCCAUGGUUUCUACAGGCAGGCACCCUUGAUGUGGAAAAUUGGGACAGAGCAGGAGAAGGAUUAAAAUGGGCUCAUCAAAAAGGUCUUAAAAUUGAUCCUUCUGUUUUCUCCGCUUGGAGUUUAGUUCAUACUGUACUUCUGCCAUUAUCUCCUUAUUAUUCUGUGGGACAGCAGGCUGAAUCUAAAAAUCUGAAAGGAUCUGUUGUCCCACUCACAGCUCCAACUGAAAAUAAAAAACAGGAGAGGGAGGAUAAAAAUUGGCUUAUACCACCUCCUCCAGUUACAGAAACAUCUGUACCACCUCCUUUGGUAGCAGAAAUAGAGACCCCAAUACAAAGAAUUUUAUGCUCUGCUGCCAUAGCUGGAGAGCCCUUAGACCUUGCACUUUUCCUAUUUCCAUUAGGCCUGCUCCAAACAAUCCACAGCAGGUUAUUCAUGAACACACCCCACUAGAGUUUAAGUUGUUGAAGGAAUUAAAAGCAAGAGCGGUGAAUAAUGGCGUACAGAGCCCAUUGACCUUAGGAUUGCUAGAAUCUGUGUUUGGUGCUAUGCGUCUUUUACCCUUUGAUGUGAAACACUUGGCACAAACUUGUUUGUCCGCUAGUGCAUAUCUGACAUGGAAUUUAAAUUGGCAAGAAAUGUGUGCAGACCAGGCUAAACAGAACCGUGUUGCUGGACACGGAGACAUUACAGAGGAUAUGCUAUUAGGUAAUGGCCCUUACUCAGACCUGGAAAGUCAAAUGGCACUCCCAGACGCUGCUUAUCAGCAGUGUGCACAGGCUGUUAAAUGCACCUGGGCCACAAUUCCUGAAGAGGGAGUCCCAGUACAAUCCUUUUUACAUAUCAUGCAAGGGUCACAGGAACCCUAUGUGCAAUUUCUUGCAAGAUCACAAGAGGCAGUUAAGUGUCAGAUUCCUCAUACCGCGGCUGCAGAAGUGCUAACUCUAGCUUUUGAGAAUGCAGAUGUGGAUUGUAAACAUGCACUGGCACCAGUGAGGUGUAUAAAAAACUUGGGAAAUUUUCUCAGAGCUUGUCAAGAUGUGGGAACUGAGCUUCGUCGCUUUGCAAUAUUAGCACAAGCAGUGGCUAACUUAGUAGUUGACAAAUCUAAAAGGAGCCAAGGGUCAAACCCUAAAAUGAGAAAAUGUUAUAAUUGUGGAAAACCUGGACAUUUUAAAAAGGAAUGCCACCAGAUCUCAGGACAGAAGGGACCUUACAAUGCAGUGCCCCACCCAGCAGAAAAAACACCAGGACUUUGUCCUUGCUGUAACAGAGGAAAUAACUGGGCUAAUCAGUGCCGCUCAAAAUUUCAUCAGAAUGGCACUCUCCUGCUGGGAAAUGAGACAGGGGCCUGGACCCAGGCCCCACAAACAAUGAGGGCAUUCCCAGUCCAGACCUCAACCCUGUUUCUGGCAUGGGUUCCCAGAGGCACAUUGAUUCCCUCACCCCAGAAACACAAGGAGUACAGGAUUAGAUCUCCCAGUCAAAGAACGGGUAAUGUUAGUUGGGGCAGACAAACCCAUCAAAGUUCCCACUGGUAUUUGGGGACCAUUACCAGCAGGAUAUGUGGAACUAAUUUAGGCAAAAUCUGCCUUAACUUACAGGGCAUUACUGUCAUCCCAGAAGUUGUUGACUCUGAUUAUGAAGGAGAAAUUCAAGUAGUUUUAAUGUCACAAGAUCUGUGGGGUUUUGAGCUGGGACAAUAUACUGCUCAAUUGUUGCUUAUUCCCUGCAAAUCACACACUUCUCUCCAUGAAAGGAGAAAUGAGAAAAUAAAGAGUUUGGGAGCACAACUACAUGGGAAAUCUAUCUGUCCCAACCCAUAGCCUCUAAUAGACCCACCUGUGUAGUACAAAUUAAAGAAAUUUUAUGGGCUUAUGGAUACGGGAGCUGAUGUGUCAGUAAUAUCUAAAGACAGUUGGCCCCCAUCCUGGCCCUUGGAAUUAACUUCUACAUCCCUAGUGGGAGUAGAAACAGCUCAAAGUGUUCAACAGAGCACUGAGAUUUUACCUUGUCUUGGUCCGGAUGGACAGUCAUGUACUUUUCAGUCUUAUGUUGAAAAUAUAGCUAUCAACUUAUGGGGUUGAGACUUACUUAUAACAUGGAAUAUGAGACUUACAAAUGAAAACUUUGAUAACCCAGGAUUUAAAAUGUUGAAGAACAUGGGAUAUCAGAGGGGAAAAUAUUUAGGAAAAUUUCUUCAAGGAAAUCCUAACCCAAUAUCAGUAACUGGAAAAACAGAUAGAAAAGGGCUAGGACGUCAGGAUUUCUAAUGAGGGUCAUUGAUAUUUCUCCUCUGCCCGCUGCCUUACUAUUAGAAUGGCUCAGUGACAAACCUGUAUGGGUGGAUCAAUGGCCCCUAUCUCAGAAGAACCUGAUGCAACUUCAGCGGCUAGUAAAAGAACAAUGGGAUGCCGGACACAUAACCCUGGAAUUCUCCAGUGUUUGUUAUUCCAAAAAAGUCCGGAAGAUGGCGACUACUCCAUGAUUUAAGAGCUAUUCAUGUACCCAUAAAACUGAUGGGUGCCUUACAAAAACUUUUACCAUUUCCAGCGGCUAUUCCAAGAGACUGGCCUCUUGUAGUAAUAGAUCUGAAGGACUGUUUCUUUACUACACCCUUACAUGAGAAGGAUAAGCCUUGAUGUGCAUUCUCUGUGCCUUCUAUUAAUCAAACAGAACCUGUUUCUCAUUAUCAAUGAAGAGUUUUACCCCAAGGCAUGCUUAACAGUCCUACUCUAUGUCAGCAUUUUGUAGGACAGGCAUUAAAGAAGCCUUGGAAUAUGUUUCCUACUGCUUACAUCAUUCAUUUUAUGGAUGAUAUUCUUUUGGCUGUUCCUACCGAUGAAAACCUACAUCAGUUAUUCAGAGAAACAAAGCAGGCUUUGACUAAAUGGAAUCUCAAAAUAGCUCCAGAAAAGGUACAAACAACUUCCCCAUACCAAUACUUAGGAACUAUUGUUACAGAGAGAGGUGUACGGACUUAGAAAGUAGUUCUCCAUAAAGACACGUUACAGACUGUAAAUGAUUUUCAGCAAUUACUAGGAGAUAUUAAUUGGCCACGACCUAUGUUAGGUAUUGCUACCUAUCAACUUACACUUAUUUACCAAACCCUGCAAGGAGAUUCUUUAAAUUCUUUGCGGCAACUAACUAAAGAGGCAGAAGCCGAAUUACAGCUUGUAGAGCAAAUGUUACAGCAGAGACAUGCCUCAUGGCUACAACCACAAAAACCUUUGCUGUUAUUUAUUCUUCCUACCCCUUACUCCCCAACAGGACUUUUGGGCCAGUUUAUAGACAAGUCUGUAACAGUAAUAGAAUGGUUCUUCCUAUCUAAUCAAACAGUCAAAACCUUGCAAGUUUAUCUUUCUUUAAUUACGCAAAUUGUGACUAUGGGCAUAGAUCAAAAAUGCUUACAGGAUAUGAUCUUGACAAAAUUAUUGUUCCUUUAGACUCUCAGCAACAAGCUGCAGCUUGGGAAAUGUUGACUGCCUGGCAAACUGCUUUCGCAGACUUCAUGGGCGCGAUAGAUAACCACUACCCUCAGACAAAAUUUUACAGUUUUAUAAAAUCUAUUCUUUCAUUCUUCCUGUGAUUACUCAUCACAAACCUAUUCCAGGUGGACAGACUUAUUUUACUGAUGGCUCUCCCAAAGGUCAUGCCGCCGUCUAUGGACCAAAACAUACUCAAAGAAUAAUGAUCUCUGGGAUUUCAGCUCAAUGCUCAGAGCUAAUUGCAGUCAGCUGUGAGGUUUUACAGCUCAAAGCUUCAGAUCCUAUCAACUACAGGGAGCCGAAGGCCCGUGGGACCUGACCAACUCAGCAUUCCACUGGAGGCUAUAUGAUCAAACAGCAAACUGUUUAUCAUGAAUGCAGGAUGUGGGCAAACUCACACUGCCCUGCCACCAAAAGGUUUGUGGAGGGCCUCACUCCCUGGCUCUUUGAAGUUAUCUACUGAGAGUUAUCUAUUGAGAAAUCUAGCGCCUACUGUUUUAAGAAUGCAGUCUUGCAAGCCUGCCGUGAAUCAAGCUGCUAGCCAACAACCACCCCCUACCCCUACUUCUCGUUAUCUCUUUUGCCUGAUAAAUACAGAGGGCUGUGUAACACUCAGGGUCCUGUCCACUAGAGGCAAGCUGCCCCCUGACCGCUUCUUCCAAAUAUACUCUUUUAUCUCUUGUCUUUUAUUCCCACGCUCGCCCACUUUGUUCAGUCCACCAGGGAUUGUGGCAGGCUACAAUCAACAUUGUCAACCAUAAAGACAUGUUACAGACUUUAAAUGAUUUUCAACAAUUAUUAGGAGAUAUUAAUUGGCUACGCCCGAUGUUAGGUAUUGCUACCUAUCAACUUACACAUCUUUACCAAACCCUGCAAGGAGAUUCUUCUUGUUCAGCUUAUGUUGUAAAUUUAGCCAGUCGCAUAGAAACUGCUACAGUUAAAAGUACGCUAGACCCAGAACUGCUUAAUUUGUUUCACUUAUUCUCAUAUGCUGCAUGGUACAUGCCAAACAGGUGAGACAGCUGGUCAUGUACAGCGACAUUGUCUGUCAUCAUUUGCUCAUAUGGGAAUACCUAAACAAUUACAAAUUGACAAUGGACCCGCUUAUACUAGUCAUACUUUUUCAAAAUUUCCUACAGCUUUGGGCUAUAACCCAUAAAACAGGAAUUCCUUAUAAUCCUAGAGGACAAGGCAUUAUAGAAUGGGCACAUCAAACAUUACAACGCAUGUCGAAAAGACAAAAAGGGGGUAUAGGAGGCCAACUACCACCUCAGUCAAAACUACAUUUAGCCUUAUUUACUUUAAAAUUUUUGACUCCUGGUACGGAUGAUAAGACUCCAGCAGAAAGACAUUGGCAAGUGUUAGAGGAAAAGAGGAACGUUUAUCUGAAAGUGUUAUGGAAAUCCCCAGAAGGAGGACAAUGGAAAGGCCCAGUGGAUUUACUGACAUGGGGAAGAGGGUGUGCUUGUGUGUUUACAGGAGAUGGACAAGCCAUGUGGGUGCCCUCAAGUCUGUAAAAUCGGAUGGACUGCCAGUCGGCGAAUGAGAGCUGCCCAGCCUGGCCUUACAUUCUUUCAAUUAAUUCAUAAACAGAAAGGGGGAUAUGCAGGGAGCCAAAGGCCCAUGGGACGUGACCAACUCUGUAUUCCAUUGGAGGCUAUAUGAUCAAACAGCAAACUGUUUAUCAUGAAUACAGGAUGUGAGCAAACUCAUGACUGUGCCUGCCACCAGAAGGUUUGCUGAGGGCAAUCGUUUCCUGGUGCGAAGCUCUUUGAAGUUAUCUACUGAGACAUCCAGAGAAUGCAGUCUUGCAAGCCUACUCUGGACCAACCAACUGACCUCUUCUUCCACCCCCCUUCUCACUAUCUCUUUUGUCUAAUAAAUACAGAGGGCCACGUAAAGCUCAGGGCCUUGUCCACUAGAGGCAAGGUGCCCCCUGACCCCUUCUUCCAAAUGUG